rnacentral:rRNA from 1 species
UGGGGAAUAUUGCACAAUGGGCGAAAGCCUGAUGCAGCAACGCCGCGUGAGCGAUGAAGGCCUUCGGGUCGUAAAGCUCUGUCCUCAAGGAAGAUAAUGACGGUACUUGAGGAGGAAGCCCCGGCUAACUACGUGCCAGCAGCCGCGGUAAUACGUAGGGGGCAAGCGUUGUCCGGAAUGACUGGGCGUAAAGGGCGUGUAGGCGGCCGAUUAAGUCUGGAGUGAAAGUCCACUUUUCAAGGGUGGAAUUGCUUUGGAUACUGAUUGGCUUGAGUGCGGAAGAGGUAAGUGGAAUUCCCAGUGUAGCGGUGAAAUGCGUAGAGAUUGGGAGGAACACCAGUGGCGAAGGCGACUUACUGGGCCGUAACUGACGCUGAGGCGCGAAAGCGUGGGGAGCGAACAGG